GCUAGGAGGCGUCGAGCGGCGGACGGGUGAGAUAAUGCAUAGGAAUCUGCCCGGUAGUGGGGGAUAACCUGUGGGAAACCCAGGCUAAUACCGCAUACGCCCUACGGGGGAAAGCAGGGGAUCUUCGGACCUUGCGCUAUCGGAUGAGCCUAUGUCGGAUUAGCUAGUUGGUGAGGUAACGGCUCACCAAGGCUGCGAUCCGUAGCUGGUCUGAGAGGAUGAUCAGCCACAUCGGGACUGAGACACGGCCCGAACUCCUACGGGAGGCAGCAGUGGGGAAUAUUGGACAAUGGGCGAAAGCCUGAUCCAGCCAUGCCGCGUGUGUGAAGAAGGCCUUCGGGUUGUAAAGCACUUUCAGUGAGGAAGAAAGCCUUGGGGUUAAUACCCUCGAGGGAGGACAUCACUCACAGAAGAAGCACCGGCUAACUCCGUGCCAGCAGCCGCGGUAAUACGGAGGGUGCGAGCGUUUAAUCGGAAUUACUGGGCGUAAAGCGCGCGUAGGCGGCUUGAUAAGCCGGUUGUGAAAGCCCCGGGCUCAACCUGGGAACGGCAUCCGGAACUGUCAGGCUAGAGUGCAGGA
rnacentral:rRNA from 1 species